GAUGAACGCUGGCGGCGUGCCUAAUACAUGCAAGUCGAGCGAACAGACGAGGAGCUUGCUCCUCUGACGUUAGCGGCGGACGGGUGAGUAACACGUGGAUAACCUACCUAUAAGACUGGGAUAACUUCGGGAAACCGGAGCUAAUACCGGAUAAUAUAUUGAACCGCAUGGUUCAAUAGUGAAAGACGGUUUUGCUGUCACUUAUAGAUGGAUCCGCGCCGCAUUAGCUAGUUGGUAAGGUAACGGCUUACCAAGGCAACGAUGCGUAGCCGACCUGAGAGGGGGAUCGGCCCCCUGGGACCUGAGAACCGGCCCAGCCCCCAAGGGGGGGCAGGAGGAGGAAACUUCCCGAAAGGGGGGAAAGCCUGACGGAGCAACGCGGGGGGGGUGAUAAAGUGUUUCGGUCCGUAAAACCUUUUUUUUAGGGAAAAAAAAAUGGUUAAUUAACGUGGCCCGUUUUGACGGUACCAAACCAAAAAGCCCGGGCAAACUACGG
rnacentral:rRNA from 1 species